CUGUCAGGGCUCCUGGGUGUCUGCAGCUCCCUCAUGAGGGGCAGCUCUGAUCUCUGCUCUGGGGGAGCAGGGACAGCAGCCAGGGAACGGCUGGAGCUGUGUCAGGGCAGGCUCAGGUUGGAUCUCAGGGAAA